rnacentral:rRNA from 1 species
AUUGAACGCUGGCGGCAGGCUUAACACAUGCAAGUCGAGCGGAGAUGAGGUGCUCGCACCUUAUCUUAGCGGCGGACGGGUGAGUAAUGCUUAGGAAUCUGCCUAUUAGUGGGGGACAACAUUCCGAAAGGAAUGCUAAUACCGCAUACGACCUACGGGGGAAAGCUGGAGAUCUUCGGACCUCGCGUUAAUAGAUGAGCCUAAGUCGGAUGAGCUAGUUGGUGGGGUAAAGGCCUACCAAGUCGACGAUCUGUAGCGGGUCUGAGAGGAUGAUCCGCCACACUGGGACUGAGACACGGCCCAGACUCCUACGGGAGGCAGCAGUGGGGGAUAUUGGACAAUGGGCGGAAGCCUGAUCCAGCCAUGCCGCGUGUGUGAAGAAGGCCUUUUGGUUGUAAAGCACUUUAAGCGAGGAGGAGGCUACCUGGAUUAAUACUCUAGGAUAGUGGACGUUACUCGCAGAAUAAGCACCGGCUAACUCUGUGCCAGCCGCCGCAGUAAUAC